rnacentral:rRNA from 1 species
CCUACGGGGGGCAGCAGUGGGGAAUAUUGGACAAUGGGCGAAAGCCUGAUCCAGCCAUGCCGCGUGUGUGAAGAAGGCCUUCGGGUUGUAAAGCACUUUCAGUGGGGAAGAAAGCCUUGGGGCUAAUACCCUCGAGGAAGGACAUCACCCACAGAAGAAGCACCGGCUAACUCCGUGCCAGCAGCCGCGGUAAUACGGAGGGUGCGAGCGUUAAUCGGAAUUACUGAGCGUAAAGCGCGCGUAGGCGGUCUGAUAAGCCGGUUGUGAAAGCCCCGGGCUCAACCUGGGAACGGCAUCCGGAACUGUCAGGCUAGAGUGCAGGAGAGGAAGGUAGAAUUCCCGGUGUAGCGGUGAAAUGCGUAGAGAUCGGGAGGAAUACCAGCGGCGAAGGCGGCCUUCUGGACUGACACUGACGCUGAGGUGCGAAAGCGUGGGUAGCAAACAGGAUUAGAUACCCCUGUAGUC